GGAAUAUUGGGCAAUGGGCGCAAGCCUGACCCAGCGACGCCGCGUGAGGGAUGAAGGCCUUCGGGUUGUAAACCUCUUUCAGUAGGGAAGAAGCGAAAGUGACGGUACCUAAAGAAGAAGCACCGGCUAACUAUGUGCCAGCAGCCGCGGUAAUACAUAGGGUGCAAGCGUUGUCCGGAAUUAUUGGGCGUAAAGAGCUCGUAGGUCGUUUGCCGCGUCGAUUGUGAAAAUCUGAGGCUCAACCUCAGACCUGCAGUCGAUACGGGCAAACUAGAGUGUGGUAGGGGAGACUGGAAUUCCUGGUGUAGCGGUGGAAUGCGCAGAUAUCAGGAGGAACACCAAUGGCGAAGGCAGGUCUCUGGGCCAUAACUGACACUGAGGAGCGAAAGCGCAGGGAGCGAACAGGAUUAGAUACCCUGGUAGUCCGCGCCGUAAACGAUGGGCACUAGCUGUGAGAGCCUUCCACGGUUCUCGCGACGCAGCAAACGCAUUAAGUGCCCCGCCUGGGGAGUACGAUCGCAAGAUUAAAACUCAAAUGAAUUGACGGA
rnacentral:rRNA from 1 species